CCAACAAAGCUCUCUCGUUCUCCUCUAUCACUCUCACCAUAUGAAACCCUAACAGAGUUAGGUAUCUGAUAAACCGUCCUCUGCUGAGCAAACAUUACUCAGCGGGGCCAGCUGAACUCGUUUUUGGAGGAAAGAAGUGUGGGUUUGGAAAUCUUUUCUUGGUUGGCAAAAGAAUUAGCUGGAAAGCCUAUACAAGAAGCACCUCAAGACCAACCUUUUCCCAACAUGCCUUAAAAGACGAUGGAAGAUAUGGGUCGUAGACUCCAGCACAUUUUAUGUUCUCCACAUUUAUGUAAUGAUAUUCAUAUUUCUUUUUUGUUAGAUUGUGAUUUUUCUCAGCAAACAUUACUCAGCGGGGCUGGCUGAACUCGUUUUUGGAAGAAAGAAGUGUGGGUUUGGAAAUCUUUUAGCUGUUUUUGAUUGGGAGUUCUUACACUUACUUCAACUCCAACACUUAUCAAGCACUAAUUUCUUGGUUGGCAAAAGAAUUAGCUGGAAAGCCUAUACAAGAAGCACCUCAAGACCAAACUUUUCCCAACACGCCUCAAAAGACGAUGGAAGGUAUGGGUCGUAGACUCCAGCACUUGAAAGGAUUGAGAACGGUAAGUAUACUAGUUGUCGAUAUUUGAACUUGAGUUAUAUAACAGAUUGGUUUAUGUUUUCUUAUUUUGAGCUUUGUAUCAUGUACAAUAGUCUGGGUUUGUGGUUUUGUAUUCUGAGCUUCGUAUGAUACAAAAUUUGUUGGUUUUGUGCCGUUUAUUUUGUAUUUGUUAGAUUGAAGGAAUGCUCUGCAUUCUCUUUUCAAAGGAAAAUACACUUUGUGUAUUAUUGAAUAUAUUGAAUGAAUGAAAACAGUUGCAACAGAAUUAUAUAUAGUUGAGUUAGUCUAACAGAAACCUAACAAACUCACUCAACCAUAAUGAAACAGUCAAAACAGAAAGCUAGUAAUAGCAGAAAGUAAGCAAAGUGCCUAAAGACUAGCUUAGCUCUAACACUCC